rnacentral:rRNA from 1 species
GUAGGUGGCAAGCGUUGUCCGGAAUUAUUGGGCGUAAAGCGCGCGCAGGUGGUUCUUUAAGUCUGAUGUGAAAGCCCCCGGGCUCAACCGGGGAGGGUCAUUGGAAACUGGGGAACUUGAGUGCAGGAGAGGAAAGUGGAAUACCACGUGUAGCGGUGAAAUGCGUAGAUAUGUGGAGGAACACCAGUGGCGAAGGCGACUUUCUGGCCUGUAACUGACACUGAGGCGCGAAAGCGUGGGGAGCAAACAGGAUUAGAUACCCUGGUAGUCCACGCCGUAAACGAUGAGUGCUAAGUGUUGGGGGGUUUCCGCCCCUCAGUGCUGCAGCUAACGCAUUAAGCACUCCGCCUGGGGAGUACGGUCGCAAAGACUG